rfam:Triticum aestivum genome assembly, contig: Triticum_aestivum_CS42_TGACv1_scaffold_112770_2AS
UACCCGGUUGAUCCUUGCCAGUAGUCAUAUGCUUGUCUCAAAGAUUAAGCCAUGCAUGUGCAAGUAUGGACCAAUUUGAACUAUGAAACUGCGAAUGACUCAUUAAAUCAAUUAUAGUUUGUUUGAUGGUAUGUGCUACUCGGAUAACCCUAGAGAUAAUACGUGCAACAAACCCCAACUUCUGGGAGGGGUGCAUUUAUUAGAUAAAAGGCUGUCAUGGGAUCUGCCCGCUGAUCCGAUGAUUCAUGAUAACUCGACAGAUCGCACGACCCUCGUGCUGGUGACGCAUCAUUCAAAUUUCCGCCCUAUCAACUUUCCAUGGUAGGAUAGGGGCUUGCCAUGGUGGUGAUGGGUGACGGAGAAUUAGGGUUUGAUUCCAGAGAGGGAGCCUAAGAAACGGCUGCCACAUCCAAGGAAAGCAGCAGGCGUGCAAAUUACCCAAUCCUGACACGGGGAGGUAGUGACAAUAAAUAACAAUACCAAGCGCAUUAGUGUCUGGUAAUUGGAAUGAGUACAAUCUAAAUCCUUUAACGAGGAUCCAUUGGAGGGCAAGUCUGGUGCCAGCAGCCUCGGUAAUUCCAGCUCCCAUAGCGUAUAUUUAAGUUGUUGCAGUUAAAAAGCUCGUAGUUGGACUUUGGGCCGGGUCGACCGGUCCGCGUCACGAAGAGCACCGACCUACUCGACCCUUCAGUCGGCGAUGCGCUCCUAACCUUAAUUGGCCGGGUUGUACCUCCGACAUCGUUACUUUGAAGAAAUUAGAGUGCUCAAAGAAAGCCAUCGCUCUGGAUAUACAAUAGGACGGGAUAACAUCAUAGGAUUCUGGUCCUAUUGUGUUGGCCUUCGAGGUCGGAGUAAUGAUUAAUAGGGCAGUCGGGGGUAUUCGUAUUUCAUAGUCAGAGGUGAAAUUCUUGGAUUUAUGAAAGAAGAACAGCUGUGAAAGCAUUUGCCAAGGAUCGGCAGAUGUUGCAUAUAGGACUCCGCCAGCACCUUAUGAGAAAUCAAAGUCUUUGGGUACCGUGGGGAGUAUGGUCGCAAGGCUGAAACUUAAAGGAAUUGACGGAAGGGCACCACCAAGCGUGGAGCCUGCGGCUUAAUUUGACUCAACACGGGGAAACUUACCAGGUCCAGACAUAGCAAGGAUUGUGUGAUAGCCUGGCUUAUUAGGGAUAAUAGACUACUCAUAUCAAUAAGGAAUGUUUUUUUUGGGAAGCCCAUUUGGACAGAACUCCAAAGUUAAGCGUGCUUGGCUUAGAGUAAUUUCAGGAUGGGUGACCGGGUAAUCUUGGGAAAUUUUAUUGUGACUAGCAAAAAUGCUCGUGCGUUGCAACGGGAGAAAAAAAAAGCAUGCCCCUAUCUUAAUAAGCAUAGUCCCAAUAUCUCCACAGGUCCACAUCCUUUUUUUCAACAUGAUGCCAUCCCAUGUCACCGCCUAUCCUCCUUCCCGCCGUCACUGAUAGUGGUCGUAGUGCCCGAGACUAUUGUCGUACUUUGCUACAAAGCAAAGCGAACGCUGCUAGAAAUGAGUUGAGCAUGUUUAACAUAACUUCCUAUCAUGAAUAAUAAAUAGCACAUAGGUUAUUAAUAGUACAUACAAUCAAAUUUUGCAACCUUUUAUUGUACUCCCUCCGUUCCAAAUUACUCGUCGCAGAAAUGGAUGUAUUUAGAACUAAAAUACAUCUAGAUACAUCCAUACCUGCGACAAGUAAUUCAGAACGGAGAGAGUAACUAAAUGUUUUGGCUAGCUACCAAAAUCACUUUAAGAUUAUGAAGAAAAUUAAUGAUUUUCCGCAAUAAAGAAUCAAACCAUUACAUGAGCAACCAAUUGGAUUUCUCUAUUCUAUACUUGAAUUAAAUUAAUGUUUUUACUCAUAUUUUUGCUAUUUAUUUGGAAAAAAUCAUGUUAUUUAUUUUAAUCCACUAUACAUUUUUUGAACUUUUAUCAAUCAAACUGCAUGCGUUCAUUAUUUAGUUUAACCGACCAUGCAUUAAGUUUUAACGUUUGUGAGUGACCAGAUUUAUUUGCACAUCUGUAAACCAUAACAUGCACUAAUUGUGUUUGUGCUUAUAAAAAAUAGCAUGCUAUUUUUCCUCAUUAAUAUUUGUGAACUGAAACAAAGUAGAGUUAAGCAAUUGCCAUACGAUAGAGUUUGGAGACGUGCACUAACUUUUCUUCUCAAGCUAGCUGUAGUCAUGCUCAAACAUAGGGCAUAGGAAAGACGAAUCAUCAUGUACCAAUUGUUGAUCUAGGAAAAUUGUGCGUACUUACAUUUUAACUCAUUAUUUUUGUGAAAAUAACCAUAUUAUUUAUUUUAAUCCACUGUACAUUUUUUUGAUCAUUUUAAUCAAACUACAUGUGUUAAUUAUUUACUUUAACAAACCAUGCAUUAAGUUUUAAUGUUUGCGUGCGACCAAUUUUUUUUACACUUCUGUAACCAAUUUUGUAAUUUGAUGAAAAGAAGAAAAACUUGACCAAAGAAGAUGCAUCCUCUUUGACACGUACUCCUACAUGUUUAGAGCUCUCGGUUAAAAAAAGAUUUCACGUCUCCUUUCUUUUCUCCACUUUAAACUUGACAGAAUAAUAAUAGAAAUAAAACAUGAUAAAAAAGAUCCAAUUCAUUGUCUACGUUUGUUUCUGUUCACACUACUUCGUUCUAGCAAGAGAAAGUUGAGCGUCAUGGCGCGUCUCACGUUAAAUUCUCCUCUUUCCUUCUUUAUUAUUAUUGUUCUCUAUCACAGACUGAAAUCCCUCUUUUCUUCUUUAUUCUUUCCUUCUACUCCCUCUUUAUUUCCUUCUGUUUUCCUUCUUUAUUCUUUCCCCCUAUUUAUUUCCUUUUUCCUUCUUUAUUCUUCUAUUCAAGCCAUCUUUCUUUCUUUAUUCUUCUAUUCGAUCCCUCUUUCCGUCCUUACAACGGUUGGCUUAUUUCCUUCCUAAAUGAUUUUCGAGAUGGCUCCUUGUUACUCAGAAAUAUCAAAGACGUAUAUAAAUUAGCAUGAUUGGAUGUAAGGAAACGAUGUCGGACUAUUUUACAGGCGAAUCAACCUUUUUUAUCCACGCAACACAAGCUAGCUUAGUUGGUCAUAAUAUUAGAUUUCAGACGGUAGCUUGCAAGUUCGAUUCGCCACACCAGCUACUAUUUUCUGUAUGGAGUAAUUCGGCGUCGCUACCUGUGGUCAGGUAGCUUCUUUCGAUCAGAUAUGGUCAGAUUUGGUUGAAUGAAGAUAAAGAUGGGGAUAGAUUAUUGCAAUUCUUGGUCUUCAACGAAGAAUGUCUAGUAAGCGUGAGUCAUCAGCUCGCGUUGACUACGUCCCUGCCCUUUGUACACACCGCUCGUCGCUCCUACCGAUUGAAUGGUCCGGUGAAGUGUUUGGAUCGCGGCGACUGGGACGGUUCGCCACGCCCGACGUCGAGAGAAGUCCAUUGAAGCUUAUCACUUGAAACAAUUCCUUAUUUAACACUAUCUUAA